UACCAGCACCCCGAGUGGUCGGGACGAUUAUUGGGCCUAAAGCAUCCGUAGCCGGUCUUGCAAGUCUUCCGUUAAAUCCACCUGCUUAACAGAUGGGCUGCGGAGGAUACUAUAGAGCUAGGAGGCGGGAGAGGCAAGCGGUACUUAGUGGGUAGGGGUAAAAUCCGUUGAUCCAUUGAAGACCACCAGUGGCGAAGGCGGCUUGCCAGAACGCACUCGACGGUGAGGGAUGAAAGCUGGGGGAGCAAACCGG
rnacentral:rRNA from 1 species